rnacentral:rRNA from 1 species
AAUUUUUUACAAUGGGCGCAAGCCUGAUCCAGCCAUGCCGCGUGAGUGAAGAAGGCCUUCGGGUUGUACAGCUCUUUCGGACGGAAAGAAAUCGCGCAGGCUAAUACCCUGCGCGGAUGACUGUACCGUCAUAAGAAGCACCGGCUAACUACGUGCCAGCAGCCGCGGUAAUACGUAGGGCGCGAGCGGUAAUCGGAAUUACUGGGCGUAAAGCGUGGCGAAGCGGUUGAAUAAGGAAGGCGUUGAAACCCCGGGCUUAAACUGGGAACUGCGCUUGUGACUGGUCAGAUAGAGUACGGCAGAGGGGGGUGGAAUUCCACGUGUAGCAGUGAAAUGCGUAGAGAUGUGGAGGAACACCGAUGGCGAAGGCAGCCCCCUGGGCCGAUACUGACGCUCAUGCACGAAAGCGUGGGUAGCAAACAGG